rnacentral:rRNA from 1 species
GCAUAUCAAUAAGCGGAGGAAAAGAAACAAACUUGGAUUCCCUUAGUAGCGGCGAGCGAAGAGGGAUGAGUUCAUAAUGUAAAUCAGUGGUUUACCAUUGAGUUGUAGUGUUUGUACAGUGAGCCAGCGGUCGCUAAGAUGAAGAGUUUUUUGGAAAAAGACACAAUUUUGGGUGAAAGUCCCGAAUUUCAUCUUGCGUCGCAGACGGCACUCUGUAUCAGAGUCUCGCUCUUUGAAAUUAGAGUGAUAAUUGGUGGUAGUUUCCAUCAAAAACUGAAUAUUUCUGAGGUAUUCGAUAGCAAAGAAGUACCGUGAGGGAACAUUGCAAAGCACUCUGGAAAGAGAGUUAAACAGAACUGAAAUCGUCUAGAGGUAAGUGGGUGAACAAAACACAUCACAAAAUAAGGUUUUUAAUCUUAUCUUGAUUGCGCGUUAGCUUCUGAAGCAUGUGACGGUGCUGCGUUUACGUAUCGCUAUGAACAUGAUUUUAGCAGCUAUAAAUGUCAAGGGAUGAAGCCAGACCUUGUCGGCGCUACGUUUUGUCUACCUGUCCCGUCUUGAAACACGGACC